rnacentral:rRNA from 1 species
AUGGGCACAUGGUUGAUUGACGCGGACUACCGCUGCCCAGUGGGCAGUGUGCUCUUCAACGACUCGGAGGUGGACUUGGCCGUGAAGACCGGCGACCGCGUCGCACAGAUGAUCAUCCAGGUAAUCUCGACGCCGGAGGUCGCCGAGGAGGAGGACCUCGACGCCACAGUCCGGGGGGAGGUCCACCUGCGUCUAAACUCCGAGUCUUGGUAG